UGAAGUUGGUUUGAAACAACAGAUUUUGGUUGAAGUUAGUUAGAAACAACAGAUUUUGGUUUAAGUUGGUUAGAAACAAUAGAUUUUGGUUGAAGUUGGUUAGAAACAACAGAUUUUGGUCGAAGUUGAUGAUUUCGGUUGAAGUUGGUUAGAAACAACAGAUUUUGGUUGAAGUUGGUUAGAAACAACAGAUUUCGGUUGAAGUUGGUUAGAAACAACAGAUUUUGGUUGAAGUUGGUUAGAAACAACAGAUUUCGGUUGAAGUUGGUUAGAAACAACAGAUUUUGGUCGAAGUUGAUGAUUUCGGUUGAAGUUGGUUAGAAACAACAGAUUUUGGUUGAAGUUGGUAAGAAACAACAGAUUUUGGUCGAAGUUGGUUAGAAACAACAGAUUUUGGUUGAAGUUGAUGAUUUCGGUUGAAGUUGGUUAGAAACAACAGAUUUUGGUUGAAGUUGGUUUGAAACAACAGAUUUUGGUUGAAGUUGGUUAGAAACAACAGAUUUUGGUCGAAGUUGAUGAUUUCGGUUGAAGUUGGUUAGAAACAACAGAUUUUGGUUAAAGUUGGUUAGAAACAACAGAUUUUGGUUGAAGUUGGUUAGAAACAACAGAUUUUGGUUGAAGUUGAUGAUUUCGGUUGAAGUUGGUUAGAAACAACAGAUUUCGGUCGAAGUUGGUUAGAAACAACAGAUUUUGGUUGUAGUUGGAUAGAAACAACAGAUUUUGGUUGAAGUUGAUGAUUUCGGUCGAAGUUGGUUAGAAACAACAGAUUUUGGUUGAAGUUGGUUAGAAACAACAGAUUUUGGUUGAAGUUGGUUAGAAACAACAGAUUUUGGUCGAAGUUGGUUAGAAACAACAGAUUUCGGUCGAAGUUGAUGAUUUCGGUUGAAGUUGGUUAGAAACAACAUAUUUUGGUUGAAGUUGGUUAGAAACAACAGAUUUUUUUCGAAGUUGAUGAUUUCGGUUGAAGUUGGUUAGAAACAACAGAUUUUGGUUGAAGUUGAUGAUUUUGGUUGAAGUUGGUUAGAAACAACAGAUUUUGGUUGAAGUUGGUUGGAAACAACAGAUUUUGGUUGAAGUUGGUUAGAAACAACAGAUUUUGGUUGAAGUUGGUUAGAAACAACAGAUUUUGGUUUAAGUUGGUGAUUUCGGUCGAAGUUGGUUAGAAACAACAGAUUUUGUUUGAAGUUGGUUAGAAACAACAGAUUUUGGUCGAAGUUGAUGAUUUCGGUUGAAGUUGGUUAGAAACAACAGAUUUUGGUCGAAGUUGAUGAUUUCAGUUGAAGUUGGUUAGAAACAACAGAUUUUGGUUGAAGUUGGUUAGAAACAACAGAUUUUGGUUGAAGUUGGUUAGAAACAACAGAUUUUGGUUGAAGUUGGUUAGAAACAACAGAUUUUGGUUGAAGUUGGUUAGAAACAACAGAUUUUGGUCGAAGUUGGUUAGAAACAACAGAUUUCGGUCGAAGUUGAUUAUUUCGGUUGUAGUUGGUUAGAAACAACAUAUUUUGGUUGAAGUUGGUUAGAAAUAACAGAUUUUGGUUGAAAUUGGUGAUUUCGGUUGAAGUUGGUUAGAAACAACAGCUUUUGGUUGAAGUUAGUUAGAAACAACAGAUUUC